rnacentral:lncRNA from 1 species
AUUUAGGCGAGAGGUUGACAUGCACCAAUAGGCUUCUUUCUGAAAAGGAUAUGUAAUUUUCUCGAUCAACUGUUGUACUUUAGCCUUGAAAGCAUUGCAGUCUUCACUUGAGUGCCCUAUUAAGCCAUCAUGAUAUCCAUAUUGCACAUUGGAAUCAUACCUAGGUGGGUAUGGUUCUAGCAAUGGCCUGAGAUACUUGGGUUCUACCAGUGAGGUUUG